rnacentral:lncRNA from 1 species
AAACACUCCUGGGGUGUCACAGGAUUCGGAUAUACUUCUGAGACCAUGGAGAAGGCAGCCAGAUAGAAUCAGGACCUCCUGGGAGCUGGUCUCUUUGUAGGGCCUUCCUCUUUGGCUGAUUUUUCUCCAGAGGCCAAAUUGCCUCCUCUCCUUCCCUUCAUCCUCUUUCUCCUCCCUUUCUUUUUCUUUCUCCUGGCAUUCGCCAAGGCAUUGGCCUCUAUUCCCUCACCUAAAUUUCUAUUGAGACACUUCGCUGGCAGCUCCCACAUUUAUGUGCAACUUGGAACCGUCUCUGGGGCUACAGGCACAGGUACCUGAUCAACAGCUCUACAUUUUCUCCUGUUCAAAUCUACUCCCCACUCCCUUUUCCAACAGCAGCAGCACCCUGGGCUCCCUAGUGGAGGCUGGACAGUUGGAUAAACCUGGGGGAUUCUGUUUUGGCUUCAGUGGGAUGUGGGAGUUAUCAAAAUUGGCUCAGAUCCUUAAAGGACCAUAAAGACGUGUAAUAGAAGUGAGAAGAGAAGGGUGUCUGGGCUUUCAAACCCUUGAGGUUCCGAUCAGAAGAUCCUGACCAUCAGCGAUUUUGUGACUGGAAGUGGGCCUGGAAGUUGGAAGCCUGUGUUCUCAUGAUGGGCCUGGCAUUGGCUCUGCUGUGGUUCUCUGGGUCUCAUUCUGCUCAUCUGUAUAACAGGAUAUGGACGUGGA